CCUACGGGAGACAGCAGUGAGGAAUAUUGGUCAAUGGGCUUACGCCUGAACCAGCCAAGUCGCGUGAGGGAAGACUGCCCUAUGGGUUGUCAACCUCUUUUGUCAGUGAGCAACGCCGGCUACGUGUAGCCGGACUGAGAGUACCUGAAGAAAAAGCAUCGGCUACCUCCGUGCCAGCAUCCGCGUUAAUACGGAGGAUGCGCGCGUUAUCGGGUUUUAUUGGGUUAAAGGGGUGCGUAGGCGGAAUGCCAAGUCAUGGGUAAAUCGCGGGGCUCAACCUCGCUCCGCCGUUGAAACUGGCGUUCUUGAGUGGGCGAGAAGUAUGCGGAAUGCGUGGUGUAGCGGUGAAAUGCAUAGAUAGCACGCAGAACUCCGAUUGCGAAGGCAGAAUACCGGCGCCCAACUGACGCUGAAGCACGAAAGCGUGGGUAUCGAACAGGAUUAGAGACCCGGGUAGUC
rnacentral:rRNA from 1 species